rnacentral:rRNA from 1 species
GACGAACGCUGGCGGCGUGCCUAAUACAUGCAAGUAGAACGCUGAAGGAGGAGCUUGCUUCUCUGGAUGAGUUGCGAACGGGUGAGUAACGCGUAGGUAACCUGCCUGGUAGCGGGGGAUAACUAUUGGAAACGAUAGCUAAUACCGCAUAACAGUAGAUAUCGCAUGAUAUCUACUUGAAGGGUGCAAUUGCAUCACUACCAGAUGGACCUGCGUUGUAUUAGCUAGUUGGUGAGGUAACGGCUCACCAAGGCGACGAUACAUAGCCGACCUGAGAGGGUGAUCGGCCACACUGGGACUGAGACACGGCCCAGACUCCUACGGGAGGCAGCAGUAGGGAAUCUUCGGCAAUGGACGGAAGUCUGACCGAGCAACGCCGCGUGAGUGAAGAAGGUUUUCGGAUCGUAAAGCUCUGUUGUAAGAGAAGAACGAGUGUGAGAGUGGAAAGUUCACACUGUGACGGUAUCUUACCAGAAAGGGACGGCUAACUACGU